rnacentral:rRNA from 1 species
AUGCUUAACACAUGCAAGUCGAACGGCAGCGCGUUUUUUCCUUCGGGAAUUAAUGGCGGCGAGUGGCGGACGGGUGAGUAACGCGUAGGAAUCUACCUUUAAGCGGGGGACAACCUGAGGAAACUCGGGCUAAUACCGCAUGUGCUCUACGGAGUAAAGCUGGGGACCCCUCGGGGCCCAGCGCUUAAAGAUGAGCCUGCGUCAGAUUAGCUUGUUGGUGAGGUAAAGGCUCACCAAGGCGACGAUCUGUAGCUGGUUUGAGAGAAUGAUCAGCCACACUGGGUCUGAGACACGGCCCAGACUCCUACGGGAGGCAGCAGUGGGGAAUAUUGGACAAUGGGCGAAAGCCUGAUCCAGCAAUACCGCGUGUGCGAUGAAGGCUCUAGGGUCGUAAAGCACUUUCAGUAGUGAAGAAAGCUAGGAGGUUAACAACUGCCUAGUUUGACGUUAGCUACAGAAGAAGCACCGGCUAACUCUGUGCCAGCAGCCGCGGUAAGACAGAGGGUGCAAGCGUUAAUCGGAAUUACUGGGCGUAAAGAGCGCGUAGGUGGAAAUUUAGGUCAGAUGUGAAAGCCCUGGGCUCAACCUAGGAACUGCAUUUGAUACUGAAUUUCUUGAGUAUGGCAGAGGAAAGUGGAAUUUCCGGUGUAGGGGUGAAAUCCAUAGAUAUCUGAAGGAACACCAGUGG